AAAGGCAAUAAAUUCUACAUUUUGAAUGAAACUAAACAUAACCUAGAAAAUUUUAGCAUCUUGUACUUCAUCAUUCCAAUUGAUAUUUUAUAUUUUAUGGAAAACUAAACAUGUCCUAGGUGGUGGAACUUCUGUCGCUUGUGAAUUUUGUUAUCACCUUUGUUCCAUGGAUUAUGCUUCUGUUGCCUAUACGAGACUGACAUGUGUGGCCACCGGCAUCCAGCACUCCAGCGUUUUUAUUUGUGAGCCCUCUCAGACGCCAGCCAACUCCGCAGCCCAACCAUUUCCAGCCUCAGUUACCCCAGGCCCGGCCCACUUCCUUCCCCACGCCAUCUCUCUCUCUCCCUCUCAUCGCCGCCGUCUCACAUACCGCCGCCGUCGUGCGCGUGCGCCGGAACGCCCGCGAGGAUCCCUCCCACCCCACCGCCCCCGCGGCCCGCGCAGGCAGCGGCCGCAGCUUGUCCGCGCGAAGAUGCUGGGGUUCUCGACCGGCCAGCUGCUGGUCAUCCUCGGGGCCUGCUCCGUCAUGAUGAAGCCUAGUGACAUGGUGAAGAUUGCGAGGACGGCCGGGAGGAUGACGGGGAGAGCGGUGGGGCGGCUCAUAGUGGCUCGCCGGCAGCUGGACGAGAUUCUGGGGCAGUCUGCAGCCACCCAGGUUCAUAAGGAGCUUAAAGAUGCUAUGACACAAUUAGACUCGAUUCGUUAUGAAGUCCAGAACUUAUCUAGAUUAACUCCUGGGCAGUUUAUGAUGAAGCAACAUAAUACUGGCAUGGCUGAAGCAGGGAAAUCUGACUCUGAUGAUGGUCCUACAACUAACCAAGAAAAAUUUCGUCAGGAAAUUCGCAGUAUAAUUCGUGAUGAAAUUAAAAACUUUGUGAGCACAACUGAAGCUAGAAAACUUGAUGUGGCUGAUGAACCAAUGACACUGGAAUCCAAGCCAAGCAAUGACGUAUGCAAGGCUAUCUGAAGCCCCAGGACUUAAGAUGGGUUCUUCCUUGAGUGGGAACUACCAAGAGCAAUUCAAGGAAAGCAAUGGGCUGUUAAAUGUACUGCCAAUAUCAGCUGAAAGUGCUGGAUUACUUCCAAGCCGCCCAGAUGGACCAACGGGCUCAGACCUAGUCCUUGAGGCUGUGCUUGAAGCGGAAGUUGCAGAGAAUGCUAAACUGUUUGUCUCGCAGCCUCAUGAUCAGUUACCUAAGGAAUGAAGGUGAAGAUGAUGUGCUUGAAGAUGUUGCAAACAGGACCAAACUGUUCAUCUAAGAGCCUCAUAGUCAGUUGCCCAUGGAGUGAUGAUGCUGUUUUUGAUCCUUAACUGGAUUUGACAUACUACUUGCACAUUGGAUUUUGUAGAACAGAGCAUCGUGGAUCACCAUUGAGCAUGUACUUAUCGGUGGCUCUCUCGGCCAGGCAUAACUUAUUGCAGAUAGUGUGGUAUCUUGAGUUGAGUGGCACAGAUGGUCCAGUACUCUAACGCUAACAUCAAACUACAUUGUCUCUGCUUUGGAAACAAUGUAUGAUGCCUUGUGGAAGCUGAAAGCAUGUCCUGAAUGGCUACCGGAGUUCUGAGGUGUUGUUAGACAGGAUGAAAAUGCAUUGGCUUGACAUACAGCCUUUUCUGUUUUCAUUGUAGAUAGCUCUGGUUGCUACUGUCUUCUUCUGUAAAAGCAAUUAUUGAUCUUCAUGGCAUUACUUUAGCUUAUGUGUAGUAGUUGAUUGAUUCGGAGAAGUAUUUGAAUGUUGAACUAGGUUAUAUCUGGUCCUUGGGGGCUUGGAGGUGUGCAUAUCCAAUACCUUAAAUAAGAGGUACUUGAAACUAUUUCACAGGUGUUAUGCUGGCAUUGGUGGUUGUUGCUUGCUUGCUUUAUGGGCAUUUCACUGUCUUUUAAUGCCACAAAUAAGUAAUUUUAUUUGA